rnacentral:lncRNA from 1 species
UAACUCUUGCUGUCGAUUAAUGAUUGUCAAGUUCUUAUCGGAUGUAACAGAUGAUAAUAGACAUCAUAACGUGCAUAUGCAUAUGUCAUAAUUCGGUUGUGAUGGGACUAAGUUUUUUUUUUAAAGUGCCAUAUGUGUAGCGCUAACAGGAUAGGGAGAGGGGGUGGGGAAGCCCCUACUACCUCCAUGAAAAAUCAUGAAUGUUAUCUGGAAAAAGAUGUAAAUUGUAACUAAAAUUUCAGUAGCAUCUACUGAAGAAUGUUUUAUCUGAGAUAGUUGCUACGGUACUUUUCACUAAAUGACUUAAUGGACUUACGUUGCUGUAAAAAAAGCAAAAGAAAGAAAAAACACCUUCAGUACUUGAGCCAUAUUGGCAUCAAAUUUUUCCAUCCUUUUUCAAUCAUUCUCUAUAUGUGACGGGAAAACAGCAUCUUGAUUAAACAAGCAAGUUUCAACUCUAGAAGAUUAGAAGGCAAUGUACAUGUACUGAAAUUAUUUUCAACUUCUCACACAUGAUCCAUCUUCAGCCAAGAGGGAUUAGACAGUUGCUCAUUCAAGGAAAGACCUAAGCUCAGCCUGAGGGAACUCCACUGACUCUGGCCCUCGAAGACCAAACAUUCCCAGCAUGCUGUGAAUCCUCUUCAGGAGCAGACAUUCCAGGUUCUGAAGCAUCCCCAUGUUGUAUGUCCAGAACAUCUGGUGAAGAGCCUGACAUAAGGAGACCAUGGACUGUGCGUAGCUUCUUCACCCAGCUAGCAGGUAACUUCUUCAAGAAAGCGACCAUUGGACAGAAUGUCCAAACCUACCUCUGCAAAGCAGCCCAGGAUUUCACAGAAAGCUGUAGUCUUGCAUGAUAAUUGUUUUUAAAUCAUAUACAGUAUAUCUUCUUGCUAUUUUUCAUUCAUUAAGAAAAUAUUUAUAAGAUGAGGGUGAUAUUGUCCAGUACAUUAUAAGCAUCUUUUUUUAUACAUCUGUUCUUCAACAUCAGAUAUUGCAGUUGAGCCUGCAUGCUCUAUAACUGUGCCAGAUUCUCCUACAAAAGCUGAAUUAAAGAUGGAAAUCACAAAUCUUAAAGAAAAACUGAGCAGCCUGAUGGAAGAGUGAGACAGUUAAGAUAUCAGAGUGUGCCUAUUGUAAAAAUAUUGACCAGUUACUUCCUGGGGAAAAAAAAGUUAAAUCUCAGUUGAUUCGACUUCUGUGGGAAGAGCUAAAAAGCAUUGAUCUCUGUUGUCCACUUGGUGCGUGUGAUCUGAAA